rnacentral:misc_RNA from 1 species
GAAGUAGUUCACUGGAAUGAACGAGUUCGAAACAUCUCUACACUCACGGUCAUACAUUUCUAUGACUGUGGUUCCAAUGUAGUCAGUGGUGUUUAAAGGAAAGUCUUUGAUUAGUAAAAUCUUUGGAUGACGUUAUCGUUUGGUGGUUACAUUUGAACUUUGUUGUUUAGCGACUUUGCGUUGUUGUGACAUUUGACUCAUAACAGGAUAUGGAGGAACAACAGCAUGAAGUUCAGAGGCUAUGUUUACUGUUAUCAAAUUUAAAAAAUGAGAAUGAAGGAAUGCAGAAUGUUAUUACACCUUUAGAGUUGGAAAAUGAGAAGCAAGAUAAACUGGAAGCAAGCACUGAGAAGGUACACGAGACAGAACUAGCUGAAAUGAAUAAAGAGGAACAGCAGCAUGAAAUUGACAGACUGCGUUUACAGUUAUCCAAUUUAGAAAAUGAGAAUGAAGGAAUACAGAAUGUUAUUACAUCUCUGGAGGUGGAAAAUGAGGAGCAAGAUAAACUGCAAGCAAGCACUGAGAAGGUACAUGAGACAAAACUAGCUGAACUGAAUGAAGAGGAUCAAUGGCAUGAUAUUCACAGACUACGUUUACAGUUAUCCAAUUUAGAAAAUGAGAAUGAAGGAAUACAGAAUGUAAUUACGUCUUUAGAGGUGGAAAAUGAGGGUCAAGAUAAACUACAAGCAAGCACUGAGAAGGUACACGAGACAGAAAUAGCUGAAUUGAAUAAAGAGAUUAAUGAGCUGGAGUCAAAAAUUCAAGAACUCGAAGUAAUUUCAAGUUUGAGACGAGCAAGCAUCGAAAAGGCUGAAGAGCAACGUAUUAGUCUAACUACUGACAGUUCAGAGGAAUUACUGAUGCUAGAGGCUGAAAAAUGUGAAGCUUGGAAAACCUAUUCAGAGUUACAGAAGGGAACUGAAGAGCUUAAUGCACAAAAUAAUCUACUGGCAAGUGAAACAAAUGAGCUUUCAGAAAAAAUUUCUGAACUGUGUUCAAAACUGGCUCUGACAGUUGAGGAGUGUAAUAUGUCCAAUGAAAAAAUGGAGGCUCUUCAGGAAGAAAAUCUCAUAAUGAAAGGUGAGCUUGAAAUGCUCAAGGGAAAGGUGGUCAAUCAUUCUUCAAAAGGAAACUCACUGUUUGCUGAAGUUGAAGUUAGUCGACAGCAAUUGAAAAAUGAGGCCAAGAAGCAGAAAGAGCAGCUUUUGGCUUUACAGAACACAUAUUCCCAGACAGUGUUUGAGAUUCGGAAACUUAUGAAAGAAAAUGCCAAAAUGUCUGAAGAACUAGAACAUGCCAAAGAACAAAGAUCAACGGAAGAAUUAAAACUGCAACUCACUACAUACAAACAAUGCAUAAAGGAUCUAGAAGAUGCACAAAAAAUAUGGGAUCAGGAAGAAGCUGCUGGACCCAUUGUUCGUGGUCAAGAUGAUGAGACAGGGAAAUUUUAUGAUAAUUUACUGAGGGAAGAGAGAGAGAAGACAAAACAGGUGUGGGAACGAUGUGAAGAUAUUAUGGCAAGGUACAUUGCAGCAACUGAAGAAGUCGCAGCCACUGAACGUGAGAAAGCAGUUGUGGAAAGUAGGAAACUGCGUGCUGAGGCAGAAAUAGUAAAACUUAAACUGCAGCUCCUGAAGAGUGAAGAAGAUAACCAUAAAGAGAAUGUGCUGCAACUAGUUGUUGAAAGAUGUCCUCUUAAAGAAGUACAGAACAUAAGGAAAAGCAAGUUUGCUGCAGAAGAAGUAGAUUGUUCUACAAGAAAACUUCUCACCAAGAAAGAAGCGGAUAAAAGAGGUCGCUUGACUUGCAGUUAAAAAUGUAAGUGUGUGUGUGUGUGUGUGUGUGUGUGUGUGUGUGUGUGUGUGUGUGUGUGUGUGUGUGUGUGUGUGUGUGUGUGUGUG